GACGAACGCUGGCGGCGUGCUUAACACAUGCAAGUCGAACGGAAAGGCCCUGCUUUUGUGGGGUGCUCGAGUGGCGAACGGGUGAGUAACACGUGAGUAACCUGCCCUUGACUUUGGGAUAACUUCAGGAAACUGGGGCUAAUACCGGAUAGGAGCUCCUGCUGCAUGGUGGGGGUUGGAAAGUUUCGGCGGUUGGGGAUGGACUCGCGGCUUAUCAGCUUGUUGGUGGGGUAGUGGCUUACCAAGGCUUUGACGGGUAGCCGGCCUGAGAGGGUGACCGGCCACAUUGGGACUGAGAUACGGCCCAGACUCCUACGGGAGGCAGCAGUGGGGAAUAUUGCACAAUGGGAGGAAGCCUGAUGCGGCAACGCCGCGUGCGGGAUGACGGCCUUCGGGUUGUAAACCGCUUUCGCCUGUGACGAAGCGUGAGUGACGGUAAUGGGUAAAGAAGCACCGGCUAACUACGUG
rnacentral:rRNA from 1 species